GUCUCUGCUGGGUCAGCUGAGACAGCUCCAGGCUCUGAUCAAGCAGACGGUCAGCAAGGGAGCCCAGACCAGCACCUGUCUACUGAUCAUCCUGGGUCUCC